rnacentral:rRNA from 1 species
AAUGAACGCUGGCGGCAGGCCUAACACAUGCAAGUCGAACGAGUGGCGGACGGGUGAGUAAUGUCUGGGAAACUGCCUGAUGGAGGGGGAUAAAUACUGGAAACGGUAGCUAAUACCGCAUACCAUCAGAGGAGCCCAGAUGGGAUUAGCUAGUGGGUGGGGUAACGGCUCACCAAGGCGACGAUCCCUAGCUGGUCUGAGAGGAUGACCAGCCACACUGGACCUGAGCCACGGUCCAGACUCCUACGUGAGGCAGCAGUGGGGAAUAUUGCACAUUGUGCGCAAGCCUGCUGCAGCCAUGCCGCUUGUAUGAAGAAGGCCUUCGGGUUUUAAAGUACUUUCAGCGGGGAGGCGUUACCCGCAGAGGAUGCACCGGCUAACUCCGUGCCAGCAGCCGCGGUAAUUC